rnacentral:rRNA from 1 species
CAGUCGCCGCGGGAAUACGUAGGGUGCAAGCGUUAAUCGGAAUUACUGGGCGUAAAGCGUGCGCAGGCGGUUUGUUAAGACAGAUGUGAAAUCCCCGGGCUCAACCUGGGAACUGCAUUUGUGACUGGCAAGCUAGAGUAUGGCAGAGGGGGGUGGAAUUCCGCGUGUAGCAGUGAAAUGCGUAGAUAUGCGGAGGAACACCGAUGGCGAAGGCAGCCCCCUGGGCCAAUACUGACGCUCAUGCACAAAAGCGUGGGGAGCAAACAGGAUUAGAUACCCCAGUAGUCCCUGUCUCUUAUAC